UGCCAGACUCCUACGGGAGGCAGCAGUGGGGAAUAUUGCACAAUGGGGGAAACCCUGAUGCAGCGACGCCGCGUGAGCGAUGAAGUAUUUCGGUAUGUAAAGCUCUAUCAGCAGGGAAGAAGAUGACGGUACCUGACUAAGAAGCCCCGGCUAACUACGUGCCAGCAGCCGCGGUAAUACGUAGGGGGCAAGCGUUAUCCGGAUUUACUGGGUGUAAAGGGAGCGUAGACGGCGAUGCAAGCCAGAUGUGAAAGCCCGGGGCUCAACCCCGGGACUGCAUUUGGAACUGUGUGGCUGGAGUGUCGGAGAGGCAGGCGGAAUUCCUAGUGUAGCGGUGAAAUGCGUAGAUAUUAGGAGGAACACCAGUGGCGAAGGCGGCCUGCUGGACGAUGACUGACGUUGAGGCUCGAAAGCGUGGGGAGCAAACAGGAUUAGAUACCCCCGUAGA
rnacentral:rRNA from 1 species